rnacentral:lncRNA from 1 species
UUACUCUUGACUGUUUUUGUGAAAUCGAAGUUAUGUCUGUGAUUGAAGAAUUAAAAGGGUGUCUAUAGGAUUGAGUAUGCAGAGUGAAUGAAAUUUAUUGGAUUAAUCUAACAAGACAAUCAGUGGAUGAAAGGUCGUGAGUAUAAAGCGGUAUCGGAGAUUAGCAGAUCGGAUUGUUCGGGGUUCUCUGUAAUGUCUAGAGACCUACCGGCUGGGACAAAAAAGAUUUCGGCGAGCAGUCGAAGGACAUCCGUAUAGAUUUAUGGUAUAUUCUUGCAAUCAUUUGAAUUCCAACAAUCAAAAACCGAUAGACUGUUUGAAUAUUAGUGAAUCUCCAUACUACCUUCUACAGCUAGAUGCCUGACACGUUCUCGAGUAAGAAAGCACAUAAUACAACAUAAGUGGUGAAUCCAAUGUGAAAGCUUGAGAUAGAAGGUAUUGGAUUUCAUUUGAUUUUAUUUUUAUUUUUAUUUUAUGAAAAACAAAAACAAAAAUUUUGAAGGAUUUUUGGGAGGAUUUUCUGGUGGGGAUUCUUCUAAAGGACAAGGAAUACACAUGGAUCCAUCUAUUGCUAGUAUGUUUCAAGCCUUCUCAUUAUCAAUGCAGCAACAACAAAGCAAUGAUCGAAAGGAAGCUUUGGCAACCAAAGCAUUGCAAGCAGUGGUCAAUAAAAUUGAUCAAUUUGAUGGAAGGAAUAUUUCAAGGUAUUUAAGAUGUUAUGUUCGUGAAAUGGAAUUAAAUCGGAUUUCUGAGAAGAAAAUGGUUGAAUUAUUUGGACUUGCCACAAUACCAAAGAUAAGAGACCAUAUUACAUCGAUUACGGAUCGUUAUGGGAAUUCAUGAGAGGUUUUUUCACAUGCAUUGAAAGACGAAUAUUUCUUGGAAGAUGUUGAUCGCAUUACUAAGAAGUUGUUUCUGGAAUGGAUUGAACGGCCUAAUAAGAAUUUGCAAGCAACAGAGCUACAAAGGGAAUUUGAAAGGCAGUACUCUCAAUUAUCGAAGGUAGAAAAAUUGACAUUGGAGCCGAACAAAGUUGAUCUAUUUCUUCAAGCUGCUGAUGGAGAAUUGCAAGGGAAAUUAGAACUCCUUCUUAAAGACAAAGAAGAAGAUGAAGGAUUGACAACAAAGUGGAAGAACGUUGAAGAUACGGUGGGGUUGCUUACAAAAAGAGAAAGGAAGAAGGAUAGGAGCAAUAUUCCGAAAUCAGUACAAGCACCCAAAGCUCUAGUACGUACAACACCACCAACAAUGCCUACAGUUCAACCUUCAACAUCCUUAUCACAGAAAACAGAUAUGGAGAUGGAAAAAAUUAUACGAGGAUUGCGAGAUCUUCAAAUCAAAUUGGCAAGACUUGAAGAGAAUACUUCUAUAAAUAAUUCGAAGAAUGUUUCAAAACAAGGAUAUGUACAAAGAUGCAUUUGAUGUGAUGAUGCUUCACACACUACAAAAGAUUGCAAUGAAUUUAAUAAUAUGAUACGACAAAGAAUUAUUUGCUGGAAAGAUGGAAAGAUAGCAUUAAAAGAUAGAGAGGAUCUUCUUCAAACCAAUUUUGGCAAGGGAGGAAUGAGAGUAUUGGUUGAAGAUUAUUUAAAAGAGCAUAAAACAGCACCACAAGAAAGUGCAAGUUAUGGUGCUAGAGUAGAUGAUGAAAUUGGUGGAAGUACAAAAACUAGUGAGUUUUGGGCUUCUGCCAUUUCUACAAUGCAAGAAGGGAAAUUACCUCGAGAAGCAUUAUUGAGGACUGCAACUACAAUAUGAGGUGCAAUAAGUUGGGAGGAUCCUGUUGAGUCUCUUUCAGUUCAUACAUAUAUUGCUAAGAGCCAACAUGAAGCUUUGAUGGAAGAAAAGAGACAAAGAAAUUUUGAUGAUACUAGAGAAGAAAAUUCUUCUAAGAGGCAAACUCGAGGAGACAAGGCUCGAGAGGCAACUUCACAAGAAUUGCUUGUAAAGGAUACCUCAGCAUCAUUGGAAGAAAAAACAAAGGAGACAAAAGAUAAGGGCAAAUCAAUUGCUUAUAAGCUACUUUCUGACAUUGAAGCAAAAAAAAAUUUGAAAGGGGUGUUGGAAGAACGUAUAUUAAACGCUAAGGUGGAAUUCACAUUGAAAGAAGUCUUGGAAAUUGCAAAGAAGGAGUUUCAUGAUGUCAUCAUUGACAGCAUUAAGCGAAAGAGGCAAUUAAUGGACGAAACUGGAAUGAGUCAUGCUAUUGAUGCAAGAAUAUAUAAAGAUGAAGAAGAGGUUGAUAUUGGUUACAAACAACCAACAAAUGAAAAGAAUGGGUAUAAUCAACGAGUACAUUUCGAAGAUUAUAGUGAUAAGGAAAUGGAAACCUUGAGCCAUUAUACUCGAAAGCAUUGAGCAAGGGCAACUACUGAGGUAUUGGUGAAAGUAGGAGAUAUAGAAGAACCAGUUGUUGCUUUAGUCGACCAUGGUUCUGAAAUAAAUCUCAUGUCUAAAGAUCUUUAUAAGAAGCAGAAAUGGCCAAUUGAUAUGGAACAUGGAUGGACAAUACGAGCAGCUAAUAACACACGGGGCGAAUUAUAUGGAGCUUGUCUAAAUGUCAAAAUUCGGAUUGGGGAUGUUGUGACGGAGUAACAUUUCUUUGUUCAAGAUACAACGUCUUAUCCGUUGAUUUUAGGACAACCUUAUAUUACGGUGUCGGGGUAGAGAGAGUUUGCCUCAAGAAAGCGCUGGGCUUCUGGCUGUCACUAAAUACUCAAUCAAGUUUGAAAUAUAAGGGUAACAAUUUUAUAUAUAUAAACUCUUCUCCUUUGGAGCAAUUACAUCAAUAUACAAGCCUUAAAAUCCAAAGAACACCAAAAUACUUGAUAAGGUGUUAUAAAAACUUAUAUAUCCUUAUGAGGAAUUUUUCCCGAAGUUCAACAGCUCAUAACUUACGAUCUAACCGUCUAAACAACUCCAAAUUUUACAUGGAGUACUGAUAUAUCUUUAGCAACUACCAAACCAAAAUUCAACUGUAAAUUCGUCUUGGAUCUUGUGAUAUCUUGAAAACCCUAACUAUAGCUUCAAACCCUAGCUUUUUUACACCUGUGUACAACUUCCUUCAUAUCUCACAAAGUAAUUAUUCAAAUACUAUGAAACUUUGAUCUAAAGCUUCUUAACCCAAUUACACACACUUGUAGAAAUUUUGAGCCAAAAAUUCGUCCAGAAACUCAAGAUAUGGCUUCACCCAUAACUAGCAACAAAACGAUAUACUUACUGCCUUCAAAUUACAAGUGCUGUCUUCAACGCCUCAUAACUCCUUCACCCAAUCUUAGAAUUCACUAUACAUUACGUAGAAUGUGUAGCCGAGAAAAUGCUCCCUCCAAAUCCAGUCGCCGAUCUUCCGUUGCUCUCCGUAUUCGUAUGUGAUGCCCAAAAGAAGUGACAGUAGGUACGAAAUUGACACCUUAUCUUUGAACAUUCAUAUCUUUUCCAUAAAAACUCGAAAUCACACAAAAUCUUCACCCAAAUUAUACCCAAAACUCUAAACCUUCUGACCCUAGCCUCAAAAGCUCGAAUGGCCUCGAAAGAGGAACCCUAAUUCCUAAUAUGGCCUCGGGCAGCCUCCUCAAAGCCCAUUGGGCAUGGUAUUCGACCAAUAGGGAUGAAGUUCUUCACCCCUUGCCUUCAUCCAACCAUGCCUUACUUUCAUCCUUCCCAAUAAGCCUCCUUCUAGUUAUAUUUUCAUCUUUUAACUCCUCCCUUCCCUUAAUCUUUAUACUAACUAUCUAAAUCCUAUAUAAUAUAAACUCUAUAAUCAAACUAGAUUAACUUCCAAAUAAUUUUUCUUAUUUCAAUUCAUUUUAAAUUAACAUACUAACUAUUCUAACUCACAUUAAGACUUAUAAACAUAUUACAUGUUUUCACUAAUUUUUACAUACUAUAAGUAAUUACAGUACGACAACGGCAAUACGGAUGGAAAUAAAAGUACUUGACGAUGGUUUUGUUUAUACAAGGGUACGUAGCAAAGAUGGGAGAAAAGGUGUAUAAUUUCUAACAGUACCUCCUAACCAUGAAUGGAAUUGAGAUAGGUUGAGGGAGAAACCAUUGCCAAAGAUUGUUGAAAGAUUUAAGGAUUUUGAGGAGGUACCACUAUAAAGCGAGAUUAUGGAGGUACAAAAGAGGAGGUACUCUCGAGAGAUGAAGGUGCCUUUGAUGCGAGUUUCAUUGGUAUAUUAGAGAAUGGAAAUAUUAUGUAUAAGAAAGUUGAUGAUUUUAAAAGAAAAGAAAGAAAAAGAUUAUAAGAUAUUGAAGGAGAAUUAUGUAAGUUAGGUACAUUGCAAGAUGAUGAGAGGAUUUUAGGUGUUUAUGUACCUUAGAAUCUAAGACUGAUUCUAGUACCGAGGGCACAUUUACCUAAAUUAGUGGAACUAUUAAAAGAAAAGAUAAAGAUGAAAAUAUUGGAACCCUCAUUUGCACCGUAUUCUAGUCGAUGGUUUACGGUACCUAAGAAGAAUGGGUCACUACGGUUUAUUCAAGAUAUGCAACCGAUGAAUGCAGUAACUGUCAGGAAUGCAGGAAUUGAACCUAUUGUGGAUGAAUUUACUGAGGCGUUUGCUGGAAGGGCGAUCUAUUCAAUGGGUGACUUGUAUUCAGGUUAUGAUCAAUUUCAACUUGCCGAAGGAAGUAGAGAUAUGAUAACAAUGAGGACACCACUUGGAUUGGUUAGAAUGUGCACUCUUCCUCAAGGUGCGACCAACUCAGUUGCGCAUAUGAUGAAUGGGAUGAAUAAGGUAUUGAGAGAUUUUAUUCCGGAAAAGACUAUGCCUUUUCUGGAUGAUGUUCUUAUAAAACGGUACAGAGAAGGAGACAAGGAUGAAACUUUAAAUAAGAAGGGGUGUCGCAAAUAUGUUGUUGAUCAUAUACAAGAUUGUGAAAAGAUGUUAACUCAGCUUGGAGAAGUUCAUCUUACAUUAUCGCAUAUGAAGUCCGUAUUUGGAGUACGAGAGGUUGUGAUUGUUGGAUAUUUAUGUGGAUCUUAUGGAAGAAAACCAGAUCCGACUAAAGUUGAUGCAAUUGGAAGGAUGAAAGAGGAUUGUGAGUCUUUAACAGAGGUUCGCAGGUUUUUAGGUGCAUGUGUAUUUUAUCGAAUCUGGAUCCCUCAUUAUACUCACAUAGCGGAUCCAUUAUAUGAACUGUUACGCAAGGAUUACCGAUUUAAAUGGGAAGAAAGGCAUAUUCAGGCAAUGCAAAGAUUGAAGAAAUUAUUGAUGUCACUUCCAAUAUUGAGGAAGGUUGAUUAUAAGUGCAAUAGACCAAUGAUUCUUACUGUGGACGCUAGUCCAAUUGCCAUUGGAUGGGCUAUGGGUCAAGAUGAUUUCAGUGGGAAUAGAUUUGCAGUUCGAUUUGGAGCUAAAGUUUUAAGUAUUCGUCAGCGUGCAUAUUCGCAAGUCAAAAGAGAACUUUGGGGAGUUGUUUCGACUAUGAAAGCUGAAGAGGACUAUUUGAUUAGGGCAGUAGUAGUAAUUGAAACAGAUUGCUUGCCAUUGCUUGGAAUGAUUAUUAACUGUUCAACGCCAGAUAUUGCAAUGUUGAGAUGGAUUGCUUAUAUUAAGUCACUAAAUCUGGAAUUUAAGCAUGUUACUGGGAAAGAAAAUUUAGUAGCAGACAUGCUAUCUUGAGUAAGAUACGAGAGGAAGGACGAAAUGGUUGAAGACAUUGAUGACGUCGGAUUGAAAUUCUAUUCAAUAUCAAAUCUCAACAGGGAAGACAAGCUAUUUCUUAAAGAAUCUUAUGAAGGAGAACUAUUGGAUAUUGGUCAUUACUUGAAUACCUUGGUCCAUAGAAAAAUUCAAACAAAUAAGAAAAAAAGCAUAUGGAUUUUUACUUCGAGAUGGAUUCUUAUGGAAGAGACCAAAGAAAGGAAUUGGGAUGCCACAACGAGUGAUAGGCAAAAAAGAAGAAAAACUAAAAUUAUUAAAGGAGUUCCAUGAUAGUUUAUGGGCAGGGCAUAGAGGAAUCUGGGCUACUUUUGCUAAACUCAAGGAACGAUAUUAGUGGAAAAAUAUGUAUCGAGAUGUGCUCUCAUUUGUAGAGUCAUGUGAAAUUUGUCAAUCGUAUUCUAAUAUCCGACAUCGAGAUGGUCUUCAUCCUAUGUAUCCUCUAGCUAUUCAUUUUAAAUGGAUUGUUGGUUUGGUUAUUAUGUCAGUUAGGUUAUGGCAAUUGAGAUAUUUGGUUUUAGCUCGUGAAGAUUUAUCAAAUCAAGUAGAAGGAAGAGCAUUGAGGACAAAAUCUACAGAGGAGAUUUGUAGGUUUUUGCUUAAAGAUGUCAUUUGCCGCUAUGGAUGCAUAGGAAAAAUCAUUGCAGAUCGUGGAGAAUUUAAUGCACAAGAAGCUCGUAAGUUCUUUGAAAGAUGUGGAGUUAAACUAUCACUGACUACUGCUUAUAAUCCGGAAGGGAAUGCAAAAAGCGAACGCGGUUACCCAUCGAUUGUGAAAGCAUUAGUUAAAACUUGUAAUGGGAGGAUUAGAGAGUGGCCACGACUUUUGUCAUUUGCAUUAUGGACUGAUCGAACAACACAUAGUUUGGUGACAGGAUAUAUGCUAGUAGAACUUAUGACAGGUCGAAAACCAAUUAUGCCGAUUGAAGAAAAGGUACUUAUUUGGAGUAUGCUACCAUGGGAAGAUGGAUUGAUAAGAGAAGAACUUCUGGCUAUUAGGAUUCGACAAUUGGAGCAAAGAUCGGAAGAUGUACAAAUAGCAUUGUAAAGGUUAAAAAGAGCAAGGUUACAAAAUAUGGCGCAAUUCGAUAAGCAACAUCGAUUUUGACCUAAAGCAAUCAAGGAAGGUGACUAGGUACUUGUUUAUGACAAUAGUCUGAAUAAUCAAUAUAGUACUUUGCGGAAAUUUUCAAAACAUUGGUUUGGACCAUAUGUAGUAACAACUCUUCAUGAUAAUGCGACUUACUCAUUACAGGAGUUAAAUGAUACAAAAUUGAAAAUACCAAUUGCAGGGAAGCGAGUAAAAAUAUUUAAACGAAGACAUGUGGAGAUGAAUAUGGAAGACCUUAAUGAAGGUAUAGAGAUUCCGUAGCAAGAAGAUGAAAGUGAUUUGGAUAAUGAAGGUGACGAAGAUGAACUGGACAAAGACGUAGAGGAUAUAUUCUGAAUCAAACAGCAAUUGGAUAAAUUGGUACAUACCGGAGGAUGCACAGGUUCAGAGGGGGUGGAUGUCAUGUUGUAACACGAGUAUACAGUGAAAAUAAAAAGAAAAGGGAAUUUUAUUAAUAUUCAGUUACCUCGAAUAUUGGGAGCAAUGACCAAUUCCAGUGCAAAUACUAAGAGGCCAGGUUCACUCACCCCGUUAUAGUUAGCCGGGGCAUAUAAAAAGGCUCCGUUCGAUUCCAAUAACGAGAGUGAGCAGAAAGAGAAAGGACCAAUUCAACGACGGGUGAGCCUGGUUCGAAGAGUCAAUUGGAUCCAAUUUCAAGACAUCCAAUCCAGGUCCUAUUUCGGGCCUCUUACCCAAUAUGAAACCUGACUUGGUCGGGCAACCCAAUGCGGUCCAAUUACGGAAACAUCUAGGUCUUACUACAGGCCUCUUAGCCAAUAUGAGACCUGAAUUGGUCGGGCGACUCAAUGUGGUCCCGAUUACGGGGCUCCGAUUCCGUUUCAAGCUGUUCCGUCCUUUGUGCCGUUCCGAAAAUGUCCUUUCAGUAAAAGGAUCUAUUAAAGGUAAAAAUGGAGGAGAAAGCUCUGACGGUGGAGCCAAUUCCGGAUCCAAGAUGGAAGAUUGAAGAAAUUUAGAGGCUAGGGUUUGAAAGAGGGGAGAAUUAGGGUUAAAGAGGAGGAUAGGUUAAGAAAUGAAGGAGGAAGAAUAAGGAUUUUUUUUUAAGGAUCGGAGAGCUAGCUUCAUGCUUCGAUGUCACGGACAUACAUAUAAUUACCUAUAUGAAUAGAUAAAAGUAUAUAAAAGUAGAUAAAAGUAGGUUAAUUGUAUAAUAUCUUUUAGAGAAGCUUCUUAGAAGCUUCAUAGACGCUGCUUUGACUUUAUAGGAGUCUAUAGUUGACUUUUAGGUUAGAAACUUGGUCAACAAGUUAGCCAUGUGCCACACAUGUUGGAAGCUUAAAGAACAAGCUAACUACGUGGUCCAUCCAUAGAAAACUUGCCUUGCAAGCAAAGGCAUGUGGCCUAGAAAGUCAACAUAUAUUGGAGGUCUUAUAGAACAUCGCCACGUGGCUUCUAGUUAGAUAGUAUAUAUAGAGGCAAGAGUGAAGCCCGCUUCACUCUUGUCAACUCCUUUCUUGCUUCUAGUCUAGUUUCAAGGGUCUCUAGUUUUCUUGUAUUUUGGCAAUAGCCAUUCCAGUUUCUUUCUUAAUAUACAUAUUUCUAUUUUGUCCUAUUUCUUUUUGAGAAAAGUCUCACUUACUCUUUAGCUUUCAUCGAGUUCUUGUCCUUGACAGAUUGACAAGAGUACACUUACAAUAUCAGAGCUUUGUCUUUCCUUGAUUAAGAGUGGAUUACCCCUUUUUCUUGAUAAGACAUAAGCGCAUUAGAAGUUGCGGAUUACCCUCUUUUAAACUGAUAUUGUUCUUAGUAUUUUCUUUGUUAUCAAUUCCUCUCUUCUAUUUUGAGCGUUAUUAGACAUCUUCUCUUUUCUAAGUGCUACUAUGGCAGAGCUUGUUGAAAUGAAGAGUGCAAUGGCACAGAUGCAAGAACAAUUGAGGGAGUUAAUGCUUGCGAUGCAUCAACUCAAUUUACCACCACAAGGAGCAACAAGAAUGGUAGGAAGUGAAGAUAUAGAGAUGAUUGGGGCUGCUUCAACAUCUGCACCAAACCAUGUCCCUUCUCCCAGAAUGGAACACCCUUCGAGUGUUAGAGAACCGAGAGUUGCCUUGCCCGAGAAGUUUGAUGGUACCAGAUCCAAGUUUCGAGGAUUCAUCAAUCAGGUCCAACUAGUGAUUGAACUUCAACCCCAGAGCUAUCCAACUCCAGGGUCACAAGUUAGAUUCAUUGGUACACUUCUUUCAGGUUCAGCAUUGUCAUGGUUUUCAUCUUUUCUUGAACGACGAGAUCCAAUAUUGGAUAAUCUGGAGGCUUUUUUGGCGGAGUUUUGAUCCAUGUUUGGAGAACAUGAUGCAAUUCGUGUUGCAACCAACAAGAUCCGUAUUUUGCGACAAGGCAAUCGAUCAGUAACAUUAUAUGCUUCGCAAUUUCGACAACUUGCAACUGAUAUCAAGUGGGAUGAUGCCGCACUUGUGAGUCAAUUUCUCUACGGAUUACAAUAUGAGGUAAAGAAAUUGAUGCUUAAUUUACCUGAUCCUCAAACAUUGAGUCAAGCAAUUGACUUUGCUGUGAAGUGCGACAAUCGACUUUUUGAAUUUCGAUCCGAGAGUCGCACAAGUGGGCCUCAACGUUACUACAAUUCAAUGGCAACACCGACGUCUCCUCAACACAUACCUUCAGAAGUAGAGGAUAUGCAAAUUGAUGCGGUACGUUUCAAACCUCUUACUGAGCAAGAAAAGUCUCGUCGUCGACAAGAAGGAUUGUGCUUAUAUUGUGGAGAACCUAAGCACACUGUUCAACAUUGUCCAAAGAAGCGACGCAACUACAAAAUGAGGAGUACGGCUGUCAAAGAAGACAGUAUGUCGGAAAACGAGUACGUCCAGCUACAAUAGGGACCGUGCGGCUGGAAUCUUGUACAACUUCUAAUGAAGGUCCUAUCCUCUCCUCAGAACCAUCUCCUUGUUUUAUAAUAGAUGUGCGUUUAGGACCUAAUAAUUACAAAGCCUUUGCCUUGGUAGAUUCAGGAGCCUCAUCUUGUUUUUUAGAUGAAGAAUUUGCUAGAUGUCAUAGAAUAUCAUUAAUACAAAAAACUAAAUCUGUACACGUAGAAGUCAUAGAUGGUCGUCCGUUGUCUUCUGGAGAUGUAACUCACGAAACACUUCCUGUAGAUGUAGUAAUAAAUGGUCAUAGUAGUUGCGUAAUUUUUAAUAUAAUUAGAUCUCCCUCUAAUCCAGUUAUUUUAGGCUUAUCAUGGUUAGAAAAGUAUAAUCCUCGAAUAGAUUGGAUUUCUCGUAAACUUGAUUUUCCUCAGAGCAUUAGUAACAGUUCUAUUAAUCAAGUAAAAAACCAUGAGUCUAGUAUAGUAAAACCCGCACUUAUAGGUGCAAAAGCAUUUAUACACGCAGCAAAAGAAGGAUCAACUUUUGCUAUUUAUGCUGCACCUAUUUCUGAAAGCGUAAAGACUUCAAGUGGCAUUCCAAGUCAAUAUCAGGAUUAUCAAGACGUUUUUGAGAAAAAGAAUGCAGAUAUUCUUCCUGAGCAUCGCCCAUACGAUUGUUCAAUCGAUCUCAAGGAAGGAACUCUGCCACCAUUUGGACCAAUUUACAGUUUAUCGCAAGAUGAGUUGGCUGAACUCAAGACAUAUAAUGACGAGAAUUUAGCAAAGAAUUUCAUACGCCAUUCAAAAUCUCCAGCAGGAGCUCCAAUUUUAUUCGUAAAGAAAAAAGAUGGAUCUUUACGAAUGUGUGUUGACUAUCGAGGACUCAACAAGAUCACAAUCAAGAACAGGUAUCCAUUACCGUUGAUAUCAGGACUCCUUGACCAGUUAAAUCAAGCUAAGAUCUAUACAAAAAUAGAUCUAAGAGGAGCAUAUAAUCUAGUACGGAUCAAUGAAGGAGAUGAAUGGAAGACUGCGUUUCGAACCAGGUACGGGCAUUUUGAAUAUAAUGUCAUGCCUUUUGGACUCACGAAUGCACCAGCUGCUUUUCAACAUCUCAUGAAUGAUGUAUUUCGUGAAUUCUUAGACAAUUUUGUGGUCUGCUACCUAGACGAUAUCCUGAUUUAUUCUAAGAAUGUUGAAGAACAUGAAAUACAUGUUCGUCAAGUAUUACAAAAACUCAGAGAUGCAGGAUUGUAUGCCAAGAUGGAAAAGUGUGUAUUUCACACUACUCAAGUUGACUUUUUAGGAUACAUCAUUUCAAAUGAUGGUCUUAUGAUGGAUUCUAAGAAAGUCCAAACAAUCAUGGAUUGGAAGAUUCCAAAGACUGUAAGAGAUGUCCAAUGUUUCUUGGGAUUUGCCAAUUACUAUCGGAUCUUCAUCAAAGAUUUCUCACGAGUUGCAGCUCCACUUACACGCUUGACUAGUAAAGAUAAAUUCCAAUGGAAUCAAGAAGCGGAAGCAGCAUUUGAAGCCUUGAAGACAUCGUUUGUCUCUGCACCAGUCUUAUAUCGUGUUGACUUUUCCAAGGUAUUUUUUAUGGAAACAGACGCAUCGGAUUUUGCCUUGAGUGCAGUUUUAUCACAAAUGGGAACAGAUGACAAACUUCAUCCGAUAGCUUUUCAUUCAAGAAAAUUCUCAGCAGCCGAGAUCAAUUAUGAGAUCCACGAUAAAGAACUUCUUGCAAUCAUGGAUUCCUUUCAAGAAUGGCGUCAUUAUUUAGAAGGUGCUUCUAGUCCAGUCACUGUGUAUACAGAUCACAAGAACUUCGAGUAUUUCAUGUCAGCACGCGUGUUGAAUCGUCGUCAAGCUCGUUGGAGUAUGUCUUUGUCAAGAUUCGACUUCAUUAUCACUUAUCGAUCAGGAAAACAACAAGGUUUGUCCGAUGCCCUGUCUAGACGUUCUUAUUUUGCACCAAAAGAAGGAGAUGCAGCUUUUGAGCAACAAAGAACGGUCCUCUUGAAACAGGAGCAAUUUCAUCUCCGAGCAGUGAAAUCAACAUUGACUGUUGAUUCAACUUUUCUCAAGCAAAUCCAGUCCAGUAUGUCCUCAGACCCUCUUGUUCAUGAUAUCGAGAAUAAUUCUUCCAAGUCUCAUGAUUCUUCUAAGUUCGAAUUCAAGAAUAAUCUAUUAUAUUUUGAAGGACGCCUAUAUGUUCCAGAAGGAAAAGCACGUUUGCGUUUUCUUCAAGCACGUCAUGACUUUCCAGCAGCAGGGCACUUUGGAUAUAAUAAGACUCUGGAACUCAUAUCAAGAGAUUUUUGGUGGCCACAAAUGUGGAAGUCAGUCAAAGACUUUGUACAAUCAUGUGAUAUUUGUUCAAGAUCAAAAAUUCCUCGACAUCGACCUUACGGACUUCUUCAGCCAUUACCUAUACCAGAACAACCAUGGUCUUCUGUUUCUAUGGAUUUCAUCACAGAUCUUCCAAACUCAAGAUCUUAUGAUUCUAUAUUUGUGAUAGUAGAUCGUUUCACCAAGAUGGCACAUUUUAUGCCAUGUACAAAAUCUAUCAUAGGUGAAGAAACAGCUAAGCUUUUCAUUGAUAAUAUUUAUCGCUAUCAUGGAUUACCUAAAGAUAUCUUAUCGGAUAGGGGAACUCAAUUUGUGUCGAGAUUCUGGAGGACUCUUUUCAAGAUUUUAAAAGUGGACAUAAAGCUAUCUUCAGCUUUCCAUCCUCAAACUGAUGGACAAACAGAGCGCGUAAACCAAGUCUUGGAACAGUAUUUAAGGUGUACCAUCAACUACCAACAAGAUGAUUGGACAAACCUUCUGCCAUUGGCAGAGUUUGCUUAUAAUAAUACGGUACAUUCCUCCACGCAACAAACACCUUUCUUUGCCAAUUAUGGCUAUCAUCCACGACUUGAUACUUUUGAUUUUUCAAAAGUUGAUAAUCCUGCAGCAGAAGAUAUGGCAAAUCGGUUGUCAGAGUUACAUGCAAUAAUGAAGGCGCAGUUGAAGAAAGCUCAAGAACGACAAAAGAUAAAUGCAGAUGUAUAUCGUAAAGAGCAACCACAACUCAACGUGGGUGAUAAGGUAUGGCUACUUCGUCGCAAUAUCAAGACCACUCGACCUUGUGACAAAUUGGACUAUCGUAGGCUUGGCCCGUUUUCUGUUUCUGAAUAGAUCAACCCAGUUGCAUAUCGGUUACAUCUACCGGAGUCAAUGAAGAUCCAUCCUGUAUUCCACGUGUCUCUUCUUGAACCAUAUAAGACAGUGGAUAUACAAGGAAGAAGACAAAUGCCACCGCCUCCUAUAGAAGUAGAUAAUAAUGAAGAAUUUGAGGUGGAAGAGAUAUUAGACUCAAGGCGGCGCCGAAAUAAGCUGGAAUAUCUUGUUCAUUGGUGCGGAUAUGAGAUUAGUGAGCGCACAUGGGAGCCAUCCAGGAAUCUAGCAAAUGCAUCAGCUAAAGUCAAAGUUUUUCAUCAACGACAUCCAUCAAAACUAAGAUGAAAACCUCUCUUAUAAAAGAGACAAGAUUGAGGCAAGAUAACAUUCAAUUUCCUAUCCUUGUUUGUAACUUCUUUGCAUUUUGUGACGUUAAUUAGAUGGAGAGCCAACAACCAGCGGAUUCAACUCAAGAACCUUCGUUUGCUGACUUACCGGAUGAGACAUUGCGAUUGUCACAACCUUCAAGACGACGCAACCGAGAUGAAGACCCUCAAGAACGACAUGUUCUUCCUCGAAUAGAUGGUGAGAUACAACGCGUUUGGUAUCACGACCUUGGAAGAGAUUCUCGAUGUUUGGUGAUAUUAUUGGAGAUAGGAACGACUCCUGAUGGUGUUUCAAAUGUAUUAUUUGAAGGAAGUUAUGAAGGCCUCAACAGUGAUCAAAUAACAGGGUGGUCUUCUCGCCCUGGAAUGGGACACUAUCGAUGGCUAAGAGGACCCAUCAACUAUCUUCGAAGAGAACAAAGAUCAGAGUAUGUAGCAAAUACAAUUCGCCGCAUAUUAGAUUUUCUCAAUAUAUAAUCACCGCUCCUCGUGGAACUCGUCCCUAGAAGGGGGGGUAAUGUCACGGACAUACAUAUAAUUACCUAUAUGAAUAGAUAAAAGUAUGUAAAAGUAGAUAAAAGUAGGUUAAUUAUGUAAUAUCUUCUGGAGAAGCUUCUUAGAAGCUUCAUAGAUGCUGCUUUGACUUUAUAGGAGUCUAUAGUUGACUUUUAGGUUAGAAACUUGGUCAACAAGUUAGCCAUGUGCCACACAUGUUGGAAGCUUAAAGAACAAGCUAACUACGUGGUCCAUCCAUAGAAAACUUGCCUUGCAAGCAAAGGCAUGUGGCCUAGAAAGUCAACAUAUAUUGGAGGUCUUAUAGAACAUCGCCACGUGGCUUCUAGUUAGAUAGUAUAUAUAGAGGCAAGAGUGAAGCCCUCUUCACUCUUGUCAACUCCUUUCUUGCUUCUAGUCUAGUUUCAAGGGUCUCUAGUUUUCUUGUAUUUUGGCAAUAGCCAUUCCAGUUUCUUUCUUAAUAUACAUAUUUCUAUUUUGUCCUAUUUCUUUUUGAGAAAAGUCUCACUUACUCUUUAGCUUUCAUCGAGUUCUUGUCCUUGACAUUCGGGCGGGGAAAAAAGACAGAGAAUUGGGGUUUUUUUUCAUAGGGUUUUGAAAAGACUGAGGCAAUUGUUGCUAAAGUCAGUGUUGUACUAUUGAAUCAGUAUUUUAAUGAAGUGGGUGUGAUUACUCUUGACUAUUUUUGUGAAAUCGAAGUUAUGUCUGUGAUUGAAUAAUUAAAAAGGUGUCUAUAGGAUUGAGUAUGCGGAGUGAAUGAAAUUUAUUGGAUUAAUCUAACAAGACAAUCAGUGGAUAAAGGGUCGUGAAUAUAAAGCGGUAUCGGAGAUUAGCACAUCGGGUUGUUCGAGGUUCUCUGUAACGUCUAGAGACCUACCGGCUGGGACAAAAAAGAUUUUGAAAAGCAAUUGAAGGACAUCUGUAUAGAUUUACGGUAUAUUCUUGUAAUUGUUUGAAUUCCAACAGUCAAAAAUCGAUAGACUACUUGAAUAUUAACGAAUUUCUAUACUACCUUCUAGAGCCAGACGUCCGACGCGUUCUCGAGCAGGAAAGCACGUAAUAUGACAGUGGGUGAUAGCACUGCUCGCAAGCCUUUAAUGGCAGGAUAUUGGUGGUUUACAAUAUUUUUUUAUGCACACCAAUUUGUUUGUCAUUGUGAUCCCUGUCAAUGAAUGGGUCGAACCACGGGCACUUCAGCCAUGCCAUUAGUACCAAUCUUAACACAGGCAUCAUCUAAAAAAUGGGAUAUUGAUUUUGCUAAUUCCAUCACACCAGCGUCAAAACUUAGCUAGAAUCGAUAUAUUUUAGUUGCCAUGGAUUAUGUAACAAAAUAGAUAGAGCCUAUUGCUAUCCGUUGUCUAGGUAGAGAGAAUUUGCCUCAAGAAAACAUUGGACUUGUGGCUGAUAUUAAUCGUUCAAUCAAGCUUUAAAAUAAUAAAAGCCCUAAAUUUAUAUAUAAAUUUUUCUUUUUGAGCAAUUACACCAAAUACACAAGUCUCAAGUAACCAACAACACCCAAAAUAUGAUAAAUCCUUUAAAACCUUAUAUAUUCUUAUGUAGAAAUUGUCUCAAACUUCAAUAGCUCAUAUCUCCUAAUCCGACCGUCCAAAAAAAUUCAAGUUUUCCAUGAAGUACUGAUAUAUUCUUACUAACUUCUACAACAAAUUUCAACUGCAAAUUCAUUGCGGAUCUUGAAAUAUCUUGAAAACCCUAACAGUCGCUUCAAACCCUUGUCUUUAUAUACCUACGUGCAAUUUUCUUUAUAUUUCACAAAAUAUAAGGUCAAAUGCCACGAAAUUUAUAUAUAUAAUUCUUUAUUACAAAAUUUUACAGUUUCCAAAAAGUUUGAGCCAAAAAUUUGUCCGAAAACUCAAGUUAUGGCUCCAACCAUUACUAUAAACAAAACGGCUCACUUACUUUCUUUGAUUUAAAAGUGCCGCCUUCAACUCCUUAUAACUCCUUCACAUGAACUCCAAAAGUAAUAAUUUUUUCAUAAAAAAUGUAAGCUUUAAAAUCGUUGUUCUAUUUGCACCUUUUGAUCUUCAAAAGCUACUAUACAACUCCUCGUAUCCUCAAAAGAAUAACAAUAUUUCUUAAAUUAACACUUUAACUUCAAACGGCUAUAAUUUCUUCACCCUAACUCCAAAUUCUUUAAUUUUUAUACACAAGUUGUACCCCAAAUCUUAAACUUUACAAUUCUUGCUUCUAAUCUCCGAAUGCCUUCUUUGAAGUCGCCAAAACCCUUGUUAAGGUCGUGGGCAGCCUCCUCAAAGUCCAUUGGGUAUGGUAUUCGACCAAUAGGGAUGAAGUUUCCCAUUCCUUGCCUUCAUCUGUCCAUGCCUUACUUUUAUCCCUCCCAAUUAGCCUCCUAUUAGUUUAUGUUUUCAUCCUUAGGUUUUCACCUUCUCCCAAGGCUUCAUACUAAACAUUUAGGUCUUAUGUAUAUUUUUUUAAUGUCAAAAUCAAAACAAGUAAAGAAACAAAGUAAAGUUUCUUAUACCAACUCCUUUUAAUUUAGUCUACUAGCCAUUCUAACACACAUCUAGAUUUAUUAAUAUAUAAUAUGUUUUAACUAAUUUUUACAUAUUGUAAGCAUUUACAAUAUGACACCGCCAUGAUAAUGCCAAUACAAUGGCCAUUUUUCUUUACGAGAAUAUUAUAACUCGAUUUGGGUGCUUAAAAGAAUUAGUUACUGAUCAUGGUAACUAUUUCAUAAAUGCCACCAUAGCCGCCUUGACGAACACAUAUGAGUUUAAGCAUCGAAAAACUACUCCAUAUCAUCCUUAUGCAAAUGGACAAACAAAAAAGAAUAACAGAAAUUUGUGCAAGGUCUUGAUUAAGACAAUUUUGAGGGCAAGUACUAAUUGGGAGACCAAAUUCUUUGCAGCUUUGUGGGAGUAUCUUACUGCAUAUAAAAUAACUACCAAUACUACUCCUUUCCAACUAGUUUAUUUAUAAGAAGUAAUUUUACCUAUCGAGUUCGAGGUUCAAAGUUUAUAGAUUGCCUUGGAUAAAUGUCUUAGUGACAACAAGUCAUUACACUCUUGAUUGAUAAAAUUAGAAGAAUUGGAUGAAAUAUCGGCUACAACUCUUUUUCAACAUGGAAGCAACUCAAAAACGGAGGAAGAAUUACUAUGAUAGUAAACUACAUUUGAAGAUUUUUAUGCCCAAUGAUUUGAUAUUACUGUAUGACAGCCAGUUUACUCAUUUUUCAAACAAAUUUUAAGUUUGCUGGUAUAGGCCGUAUCAAGUGAUUGAAGACUUUUCUAAUGGGUUUCUUCAAUUAGAGGAUUUCAUGGGCCAUCGAUUCAGUAUCCACUAUAACAAGAAUCAAUUAUGGUUAUUGAAUACAUAAAAUUUGGGCCGGGUUUUUAUUUUUUGGGGGGAGGUGACUUCAAAUGGACUCAAGAUAGACCUAGAUAUGGUAUAAGUGCAUUAGGAUGUAGAUGCAGCUAAAGAGAUAGUUAAUAAUUACUAAUGUGUCAAAUGAGACGGAGGUGAGAAACGGACAGUAUGGAUAAUAUGUUGUCAUUAUCACCAGGUAGUAAGAGAAUAGGAGUAGGGCACCAGUUAGAGGUCAUUUUGUGGUGUUGUUUUGGGUUGUUUUUUUUGAGAUUGCCAUUUCUUGUGUUUCUUGUGUAUUCGAGAGUAGUAGUUCCAGUUAAGAGUUUGAGAGAGGGAAUGUCAUGGCAAUUGAAAGUACAAAGCGAGCUAAAAAUAAAGAGGACAGUGGCCGAAAUGUGAGAGCUAAACGUGCGUUAAAACCACCUUCUGUGAUAAUCAUCACUAAUAUGGAGCCAAUGAAGUUAGAUAUCUGUUGGACAUCGAGAAGAAUAAGAGACUUUUGAAAUGUACAGUUGUACUAGUUUUUACACCAGUCAGAUUGUUUACCAUCAAUUAAUGUGUCAUUAUUGGAGGAAUAUAUUACAAAUUACAACCCAAAAGAUAGAUCAAGUAUUGUAUAAGGACGAAUUAUUGGGAUUGAUGGAACAAUCCUGGAAAAGGUGAUAUUUCUCCUCAUUGAAGAGAUUGUAGUAGGGACUGAUGACUCAAGCGGCUUCAGUCCAAGAAGAUAUUUCAAGGGAGGUAUAUCGUCCUUUGAGAGGAGCCAAAGUUGGCAUACUACUGAGGCAAUUUGAUCGGAACUUGUAGAAUGGUUCUAUUUUGUAGUGAGGUAGUUAAAAUUGUAUCGAUAAUCCACAUAUAUGUCCAAAUGGUUAUUGUAUGUAGUGGUAGGGGCACUUGAAGGGAUGGUAUUCAACUAGGCAACAUACGUAGCAACUCAUAUUGAUGCGGUGUUGGAGUAGAGAGAGUUUGUCUCAAGAAAGUGUUAAGCUUCUGGCUUCCACUAAAUACUCAAUCAAGUCUAAAAUAUAAAAAUAUCAAGUUAUAUAUAAUAUAUUUUUUUUUUGGGAAAUUACAUCAAAACAUAAGUCCAAGUACUAAGAAAACACCCAAAUGUAUGAUAAAGAUCUUAAAACCUUAUAUAUCCUUAAAAGAGAUGUUUUCUGAACUUCAACAGCUCAUAUCUCACGAUCGGACCGUCCAAACAAUCCUAAAUUUUAUAUGAAGUAUUGAUAUACUUUCAAAAACUUCUACAAAAAAAUUCAAUUGUAAUUUCGUUACAAAACUUGAGAUAUCAUCAAAACCCUAACAGUAGCUUUAAAUCCUAGCUUAUAUACACUUAUGUGCUAAUUUCUUCAUAUCUCACAAAAUAAGUACUCAAAUACGAUGAAACUUUGAUCUACAGAUUCUUAACUUAAUAAUACACACUUAUAGAAAUUUUGAGCCAAAAAUUCGUCUAGGAACUCAAGAUAUGGCUCCAACCAUUACUAUCAACAAAAUGACUCACUUAUUGCCUUUGAAUUACAUGUACUAUCUUCAAAUGUCUAUAACUCCUUCAUCUAGACUUGUAAUUCAUCAAAUACUAUAUGUAAAAUGUAGCCAAGAAAGUAUCUUCUCCAAUUCCAGUCGCCGAUCUUUCAUUGCUCUUUGUACGCAUAUGUUAUGCUUCAAAGAGUGACAGUAGGUACAAAUUUGACACCUUAACUUUGAACACCUAUAUCUCCUUUACAAAAACUCGAAAUUAUACAAAUUCUUCACCCAAAUUAUAUUCAAAAUCCUGAAAUUGCUGACCCUAGCCUCCAAAGUUCGAAUGAAUUCGAAAGAGAAACCCUAAUCCCUAAUAAGGCCUUGGAACAGCCUCCUUGAAGUCCAUUGGACAUGGCCUUCGACCAAUAGGAAUGAAGUUUCCCAUUCUUUGCCUUCAUCCGACCAUGCCUUGCUUUCAUUCCUUCCAAUAAGCCUCCUAUUAGUUAAGAUUUUCUUCUUUAGGCCCCAACCUUCUCUUAAGCUUUAUACUAAAUAUCUAAAUCCUACAUAAUAUAAACACUAUAAUCAAAAUAGAUAAAUCUCCAAAUAAAUUUUCUUAAAUCAAUUUUCUUUAAAUUUAUUUAAUAACCAUUCUAAUCUACAUCAAAACUUACAAACAUAUUAUAUGUCUUAAUUAAUUUUUACAUACUAUAAGCAAUUACAAUACAACAGCGGAGAUAGGAGCUAAGUGUAAAUUGAAAAAGUUCACAUAUUUGCUUUGUUCCAAUUAUGUGUAUGCUACGAUUGCGCACACAUUGUGUCAAAUACCACCAAUAGAGGAAAGUCUUGUGUUUAUAUGAACACUAUGAUUGCGCACACCAGUGCUAGUGCCUUCCCAGAGAGAACAAAAUUUAUUAGUAGAGAAUAUCAAUAUUGUGGAUGUAAUACACAAAAUUGGGGAGUCAAGUUGUACAAUGGCUUAAGGAGUGGUUCUAGUUAUUGAAUCAAAACAAAUUCCAAUUUGUUUUACAGUGGAGGAGGAGAAUGAAACUCUAAUUUUGAUGGAUAUUAAUCAGUUGAUGUUUCUACAAGGACGAUUGUCUAAAAGAAUACUUUUAAGAAUGCUUUAUUGAAGCACAUUUCACAAAUAUAUUAUAUGGUGUGAGCAUUAGAUAUAGACGGCAGUAGAAAACGAGAUUUAGAGAACAACAAGAAGAUGAUAUCAGAGCAAAACCAAAGAAUUGAAGAGUAAGAAUGGACUAUAAAAGAAAUUAGAGAAUCUAAGCUUGUAUUGGAGCAAAAAUUGGUUCACCAAUAUAAGUCUUGGAUGAAAGAAAAAGAACACUUCUUACGAAUUGUAGAAGGACAAUGAGAUGAAUUGAUCUAGAAUCACAAGACAUGGAAUUUGGAAUAGGAGAAAUUCAAAUGCCAGUUGUAAGCAGAAAGGGAGAAGGCAAAGUUAUUGACAAAAGAGAAAGCGACAUUGAAUGAUCAAUUCAAAUCCAAAAUAGAGAAGUUGAGGUCCAAAAUCGAAGUUUUACAUGCUGAGGUGGCAAAAUUGAUAGAAGAGUUAACCGUGAGGAGCUAGUCACAAGCAUCAAUUGAAGAUGUUUCAAAAUAGAUGAGUCAAUAGCAACAUCAAUUGAAACUCUAUGAUGCCGAGAUCUUGAAACUGGAGGCUCAAGUCCAUGAAUUGGGAAAAUAUAAUGAAGAUCUCUCAAACCAGUUGAAGAAGGAAUCAAUGGAUGGAUUGGAGGAGGAGGAAGAUUUUAAUUUAGAACCAGAAUCGAUAGAAUCCACAUUAGAUAAUAUAGCAAAUGAUUAAUUGGAUAGGUUAGAGGAAAUAGUAAUUUUGUAGAGUUUUGUUUAGUUUUUAGAUAGGUAACAAUUGUGUAUUUGUGAGGACGCUGCAUAGAUAGGAGUGGAGCUAUGUAAAAUAGAUAUUAGUUUGUUUCUGUAAGAUAUUGGUAAAAUAGACUAAUAGUCCGUAGAAUAGUCAAUUCAAGAAGAUGGAUGAUUAACUUAGUUAUUAAAAGUAAUUAAUUACAAGAUUACGGUUAAAAUCUGGGAAUAGGGAGUAAGUAUAUAGGAGUUGUAGAAGUUAGUCUGAGUGCCAGACUGUGAUAGUCAUGAGUCGAGGUAAGCUUGGUACUACCUCCUUGUUUCUUUAUUUCUUUGUUGUUGAAAAGUAAUGGAUAGUUUUUGAAUACUAAAAAGUAAGUUUAUAGAAUAAAUCAGAGAUUGAUUUAUGAGUUAUUGAUUAUGUAAUUACAGCAUUAAGUGAUUGAAUUAUAUGAGGAGUUAUUUAAAGAUUAUGAUUGUUGUUUAUUGAAAUUUGUGUGUGUUUCAACAGAGGAAGUUUGUGAUUAUAAAAAUUAUGUGAAUUCAGAUUGGUUGGAAUGAAGUCUGUUAUUUUUGGUAUUGGAUGGAAAUCAUUGUAUUUUGAGAGGUCUUUUCAAAGUACAGGGUUGCAUACUGUUGUUAUUAGUUGAUGAAGGAAUAUUGUUACUAGGAGAAAGCAUUGUAGUAUUUCUUAGUAUUUUAGUAGUUCGGAAUACGAUUCAUUGUGUGAUCCUAAUAAGUAAAACUCAUGCACUUAGUCUUUCCAUGUGUUUGAAUUCUCCUAUACAAGUUUAUUCUGAAAAAAAUUAUAAAAUAAGUAAAACAAUAAUGACAACUGUCUUAAGAAUGAAGAGCAAACCACAAAAUUGGACAUCAUCAUCUAACAGCUAUCAAAAAGAAGGAAGCAAAUUCACUCCUUGUGGAAAUUUUAGGUGGUUGAUAUAGUGAAUAAAGAAGUCAGUCUGUGGAUUCUUCGUCGUCAUGGUGUAGGUGGUUCUUCAUCUCGGGGUCGCCUUCGUGAGCUAGUUGGUUGAGAUAAUCUGAUUGGUAUAGUAUCUAUCUCUUGGCUAUCCAUAUCAGAAGACCAAACUAUGGCUACUGAAAAAAUUCUAUUUUAUCUUGGAAAAAAUAACUACAUCAACUACGAAUUUUGGUGGUGCUCUUUUCCUUUCUUAUAUUCUUAGGUGAGCAAGCUUCAGAAGGAAGCUAUCGUUGAACCGGCUUAGGUUUAUGAGGAUGUUGUUGAUGAAACUCUUGUACCUUUUGCAGCGCAUUGGCAAGAUUUUCAGCUGGCUCCUACAUUUGCUCAUUAAUGUCGUAGCCGCACCAAUAAACAAGAUACUCCAACUUCCCCACCUUUGCCGUGAAUCCAGUAUCUUUUUAACCUCGUAUUCCUCAUGGUUCUCGAUUUCAAUACUAGGAGGCGGACAUUGUACUCUUCCAGGAAAAGAUGACUCUCGAUAAGGCUCUAACAGAGAAACAUGAAAGACUGGAUGUACCUUCAUAGAAGCCAAUAACUCUAGACGAUAUGCCACUGGAUUGAUUUGCUUCUGGAUGAUAAAUGGUCCCAAUCUUCGAUAGUCCAACUUAUCACAUAGUCGCUUGGUCUUGAUAUUUCGUCGAAGAAGCCAUGCUUUAUCUCUAAUUUUGAAAGUAGGUGCUUGAUUCCGAAAUCUAUCUGCAGACACCUUGUAGGAUUCUUGAGUGGAUUGUAAUUGAAAAUUCAACGUAUUUUGAAGCUCUGAUAGUUGUUUCACAAAUCCUUCAACUACUGGAUUGUUAUUUGUUGACGGACUCAAUAAAUCAAGCUUCGGAUGAUAUCCAUAGUUGAAAAAAAAUAGUGUGUAUUGAGUCGACGUAUGGAGGGUGUUGUUAUAUGCAAACUCGACUAACGACAGAUAUGUGGUCCAAUCGUCUUGCUGAUAGUUGAUGCUGCAUCGUAAGUAUUGUUCCAAGACUUGGUUCACCCGUUCCGUUUGACCAUCAAUUUGAGGAUGAAAAGCCAAAGAAAGCUUGAUAUCCACCUUCAGUAUCUCAAAGAGAGGUCUCCAAAACUUUGAUACAAACAGGAUUCCUUGAUCUGAUAUGAUAUCAUCUGGUAGUCCAUGAUAUCGAUACACAUUAUUGAGAAAGAGCCUUGCUAUGACUUCAUUGGACGAUGUCUUCUUGCAAAGAACAAAGUGCGCCAUCUUUGUAAGCCGAUUUAUCACGACAAAGAUGCUGUCAAAUGAAUUCGAUGAUGGAAGGUCCGUAAUAAAGUCCAUGGAAACUGAAGACCAUGGUCGACGUGGAAUCAGCAAUGGCUGUAGGAGUCCAUAAGGGCGAUGUCGAGGAUUCUUGGAUCUUGAAUAGAUGUUGCAGGAGAGGACAAAAUCUUUCACAUCCUUCUACAUUUGGGGCCACCAAAAAUCUUGAGAAAUAAGCUCCAAGGUCUUGUUGAAUCCAAAAUAUCCCGAAGCUGGAAAAUCGUGGCGAGAUUAAAGAACUCAGAGUCGUAUUGGUCCUUUUGGAAUAUUUAACCGCUCCUCAAAGUAUAAAAGAUCUCCCUCCACCUUAAAUUUGUCAUCAUUUGCACGCUGCUUAAUAUCAAUGGCUACUCAAUCUUCAAUGGUCACGGCACGUACCUGAUUCAAGAAGUCAGCAUCAAUUGACACAAUAGUAGCGUAAAACUGAAAUUGCUCUGGCUUCAACAAUGUCGUACAUUGUUGAUCAAACGCUGCUUCUCCAACCUUUGGUACAAGAUACGAUCUCCUCGAUAAGGCAUCAGAUAGUCCUUACUGCUUUCCAGGUCGAUAGUGAUAACAAAAUCGAAUCUAGAUAGUAACAUACUCUACCGAGCUUGACGUCAAUUUAAAACUCGAGCCGACAUGAAAUACUCCAAAUUCUUGUGAUCUGUGUAUACGGUCAUUGGGUAUGCAGCUCCUUCAAAAAAGUGAUGCCAUUCUUGGAAAGAAUCCACUAUAGCAAGAAGUUCCUUAUCAUGGAUCUCAUAAUUGAUUUCAGCAGCAAAGAACUUUCAAGAAUAGAAUGCAACCAGAUGGAGCUUCUUGUCUUCUCUCAUUUGUGAAAGUACAGCUCCCAAAGCAAAAUCCGAAGCAUCAAUUUCUAAAUAAAAGGCCUUUGUAAAAUCUGGAUGUACUAAAAUUGGAGCCGUAGUAAAUACAAUUUUUAGAUCUUGAAAUACCUUCUCCGCUAGAGGUCCCCAUUCUAGCUUAUCCUUGCAUGUCAACCAAGUGACAGGAGCAGCAAUUUGAGAGUAAUUCUUGAUGAAGAUCCGAUAGAAGUUGGCAAAGCCAAGAAAGCAUUGUACAUCUCUCACCGUCUUCGGAACCUCCCAAGACACGAUUGCUUCCACCUUCUUGGGGUCCAUCUUCAAGCCUUCCGUUGUCAUGUUAUAACACGAGUAUACCAUGAAAAUAUAAAGUAAGGGGAUUUUUAUUAAUAUUCAUUUACCUCGAAUAUUCGGAGUAACGAGCAACUCCAGUGCAAAUACUGAGAGGCCAGGUUCAGUCACCCAGUUACAGUCAGCCGGGGCAUACUGAAAUGCUCCGUUCGAUUCCAGUAACGGGAGUCAGCAAAAAGAGAAAGGACCAAUUCAAUACGACGGGUGAGCCUGGUUCGAAGAGCCAAUUGGAUCCAAUUUCAAGACAUCUAAUCCAGGUCCUCUUAUCCAAUAUGAGACCUGAAUUGGUCGGGCAACCCAAUGUAGUCUAAUUAUGGAAAAAUCCAGGUCUUACUAUGGGCCUCAACCAAUCUAACGUGAAGGACCAAUUUGAUCCAAUUACGGGAACAUCCGGAUCUUACUACUAGACUCUUACCCAAUAUGAGACCUGAAUUGGUCGGGCGACUCAAUGUGGUCCUGAUUACGGGGCUCCGAUUCUGUUUCUGGCUGUUCCGUCCUUUGUGCCGUUUCGGGAACGUCCUUUUGGUGAAAGGAUCUCUUAAAGGUAAAAAUGGAGGAGAAAGCUCUGACAGCGAGAGUCAAUUUUGGAUCCAAGCUCUGAAGGCGGGAGCCAAUUUCGGAUCUAAGAUGGAAGAUUGAAGAAAUUCAGAAUUAAAGUUAAGAAAUAGGGAGGAGAGAGAAUAAUUUUUAGGGGGGUUUUGAAGGAUCGAGAGAGAUAGUUUCAUGCUUCGGGCGGGGAAAGAAGACAGAGAAUUGGGUUUUAUUUUCUUCAUAGGAUUUUGCAAAGAGUGAGGCAAUCAUUGCUGAAGUCAGUGUUGUAAUGGUGAAUCGGGAUUUUUAAUGAAGUGGGUUUGAUUACUCUUGACUGUUUUUGUGAAAUCGAGUUACGUUUGUGAUGAAGAAUUAAAAAGAUGUCUAUAGGAUUGAGUAUGCAGAGUGAAUAAAAUUUAUUGGGUUAAUCUAACAAGACAAUCAGUAGAUGAAUGGUCGUGAGUAUAAAGCGGUAUCGGAGAUUAGCAGAUCGGGUUGUUCGGGGUUCUCUGUAAUGUCUAGAGACCUACCGGCUGGGACAAAAAAGAUUUCGGCGAGCAGUCGAAGGACAUCCAUAUAGAUUUAUGGUAUAUUCUUGCAAUCAUUUGAAUUCCAACAAUCA